AGUGAACGCUGGCGGAAGGCCUAACACAUGCAAGUCGAACGAGUGGCGGACGGGUGAGGAAUACAUCGGAAUCUGCUCGGUCGUGGGGGAUAACGUAGGGAAACGUACGCUAAUACCGCAUACGAUUGAAUGAGCCGAUGUCGGAUUAGCUAGUUGGCGGGGUAAAGGCCCACCAAGGCGACGAUCCGUAGCUGGUCUGAGAGGAUGAACAGCCACACUGGAAUGGAGACACGGUCCAGACUCCUACGGGAGGCAGCAGUGGGGAAUAUUGGACAAGGGGCGCAAGCCUGAUGCAGCCAUACCGCGUUGGUGAAGAAGGCCUUCGGGUUGUAAAGCCCUUUUGUUGGGAAAGCGGUACCCAAAGAAUAAGCACCGGCUAACUUCGUGCCAGCAGCCGCGGUAAUAC
rnacentral:rRNA from 1 species